rnacentral:rRNA from 1 species
UGGGGAAUAUUGGACAAUGGGCGCAAGCCUGAUCCAGCCAUGCCGCGUGAGUGAUGAAGGCCUUAGGGUUGUAAAGCUCUUUCACCCACGACGAUAAUGACGGUAGUGGGAGAAGAAGCCCCGGCUAACUUCGUGCCAGCAGCCGCGGUAAUACGAAGGGGGCUAGCGUUGCUCGGAAUCACUGGGCGUAAAGGGCGCGUAGGCGGAUUGUUAAGUCAGAGGUGAAAGCCCAGGGCUCAACCCUGGAAUUGCCUUUGAUACUGGCAAUCCUGAGACCGGAAGAGGUUAGUGGAACUGCGAGUGUAGAGGUGAAAUUCGUAGAUAUUCGCAAGAACACCAGUGGCGAAGGCGGCUGACUGGUCCGGUUCUGACGCUGAGGCGCGAAAGCGUGGGGAGCAAACAGG